AGAGUUUGAUCAUGGCUCAGGACGAACGCUGGCGGCGUGCCUAAUACAUGCAAGUCGAGCGAGCUUGCCUAGAUGAAUUUGGUGCUUGCACCAAAUGAAACUAGAUACAAGCGAGCGGCGGACGGGUGAGUAACACGUGGGUAACCUGCCCAAGAGACUGGGAUAACACCUGGAAACAGAUGCUAAUACCGGAUAACAACACUAGACGCAUGUCUAGAGUUUAAAAGAUGGUUCUGCUAUCACUCUUGGAUGGACCUGCGGUGCAUUAGCUAGUUGGUAAGGUAACGGCUUACCAAGGCAAUGAUGCAUAGCCGAGUUGAGAGACUGAUCGGCCACAUUGGGACUGAGACACGGCCCAAACUCCUACGGGAGGCAGCAGUAGGGAAUCUUCCACAAUGGACGCAAGUCUGAUGGAGCAACGCCGCGUGAGUGAAGAAGGGUUUCGGCUCGUAAAGCUCUGUUGGUAGUGAAGAAAGAUAGAGGUAGUAACUGGCCUUUAUUUGACGGUAAUUACUUAGAAAGUCACGGCUAACUACGUGCCAGCAGCCGCGGUAAUACGUAGGUGGCAAGCGUUGUCCGGAUUUAUUGGGCGUAAAGCGAGUGCAGGCGGUUCAAUAAGUCUGAUGUGAAAGCCUUCGGCUCAACCGGAGAAUUGCAUCAGAAACUGUUGAACUUGAGUGCAGAAGAGGAGAGUGGAACUCCAUGUGUAGCGGUGGAAUGCGUAGAUAUAUGGAAGAACACCAGUGGCGAAGGCGGCUCUCUGGUCUGCAACCGACGCUGAGGCUCGAAAGCAUGGGUAGCGAACAGGAUUAGAUACCCUGGUAGUCCAUGCCGUAAACGAUGAGUGCUAAGUGUUGGGAGGUUUCCGCCUCUCAGUGCUGCAGCUAUCGCAUUAAGCACUCCGCCUGGGGAGUACGACCGCAAGGUUGAAACUCAAAGGAAUUGACGGGGGCCCGCACAAG
rnacentral:rRNA from 1 species